AAUGAAUAAUUUAACUUAUUAAUAAAUAGAAUAUUAAAUGUUUAGUCAUUAAAUUUAUAAAAUUUGGCGGUAUUUUUAAAAAUUAGAGGAAUCUGUAAGUUAAUUGAUGAUCCACGAUAAGAAGAACUUAAUUAUAAAUAUUUAUGUAUUGCUGUUUUAAAAAUUUUAUUAAGUAAAAUUUAAAAAUUGAAAUUUUAAUUUAAUUCAAGUCAAAAUAUAGUUUAUUUAAGUAAUUUAUGGAUUACAAUUUUUUAAAAUAAUGAAUAAUUUAAUUUAAUUUAAAUUUGAAAAUGGAUUUAAUAGUAAAUUGAAUAAAUUAAUUGAUUUGAAUUUAUUUUAAAAUGUGU
rnacentral:rRNA from 1 species